rnacentral:rRNA from 1 species
CUGGCGGCGUGCCUAUCAUGCAAUCGAGCGAACUGAUUAGAAGCUUGCUUCUAUGACGUUAGCGGCGGACGGGUGAGUAACACGUGGGCAACCUGCCUGUAAGACUGGGAUAACUUCGGGAAACCGAAGCUAAUACCGGAUAGGAUCUUCUCCUUCAUGGGAGAUGAUUGAAAGAUGGUUUCGGCUAUCACUUACAGAUGGGCCCGCGGUGCAUUAGCUAGUUGGUGAGGUAACGGCUCACCAAGGCAACGAUGCAUAGCCGACCUGAGAGGGUGAUCGGCCACACUGGGACUGAGACACGGCCCAGACUCCUACGGGAGGCAGCAGUAGGGAAUCUUCCGCAAUGGACGAAAGUCUGACGGAGCAACGCCGCGUGAGUGAUGAAGGCUUUCGGGUCGUAAAACUCUGUUGUUAGGGAAGAACAAGUACAAGAGUAACUGCUUGUACCUUGACGGUACCUAACCAGAAAGCCACGGCUAACUACGUGCCAGCAGCCGCGGUAAUACGUAGGUGGCAAGCGUUAUCCGGAAUUAUUGGGCGUAAAGCGCGCGCAGGCGGUUUCUUAAGUCUGAUGUGAAAGCCCACGGCUCAACCGUGGAGGGUCAUUGGAAACUGGGGAAACUUGAGUGCAGAAGAGAAAAGCGGAAUUCCACGUGUAGCGGUGAAAUGCGUAAAGAUGUGGAGGAACACCAGUGGCGAAGGCGGCUUUUUGGUCUGUAACUGACCUGAGCGC